ACGGCGAGUGAAGCGGCAAAAGCUCAAAUUUGAAAUCCUUCGGGAGUUGUAAUUUGUAGGUUGGGAGACCCCGCGGCUAGUGGCACCAAGUCCCUUGGAACAGGGCGCCUUAGAGGGUGAGAGCCCCGUAGAUACCACAACACCGUCUUGUGUCUCCUCUCCAAAGAGUCGAGUUGUUUGGGAAUGCAGCUCAAAGUGGGUGGUAAAUUCCAUCUAAAGCUAAAUACCGGCGAGAGACCGAUAGCGAACAAGUACAGUGAUGGAAAGAUGAAAAGCACUUUGAAAAGAGAGUGAAACAGUACGUGAAAUUGUUGAAAGGGAAGGGCUGCCAGCAGACACGCCUGUGCCGGCAGCAUCGUGCUAGGUGAUAAGACAAGAUGUGCUCUCGAGUAUAUGCCUGCGCGAUACACCCACUGGCGACCGAGGCCCUGCNGGUAUUCCCUACCCUANGGAUGGCUGGGCGUUAAAUGGGUUUGGCCA
rnacentral:rRNA from 1 species